rnacentral:rRNA from 1 species
UACGUAGGUGACAAGCGUUGUCCGGAUUUACUGGGCGUAAAGAGCGCGCAGGCGGUCGUUCAAGUCGAGUGUGAAAGCCCCCGGCUCAACUGGGGAGGUCACUCGAUACUGAUCGACUUGAAGGCAGGAGAGGGAAGCGGAAUUCCCGGUGUAGUGGUGAAAUGCGUAGAUAUCGGGAGGAACACCAGUGGCGAAGGCGGCUUCCUGGCCGUGCUCUUGACGCUGAGGCGCGAAAGCUAGGGUAGCAAACGGGG